GGAUGUGAGAGUGAUCUGGCUGCGACAUCUGUCACCCCACUGACCGCCAGGGCUGAUUUGGCUGAUCUGGCCGGCUAGGCGGGUGUCCCCUUCCUCCCUCACCCUCCAUUUGUGUCCCUCCCGAAGCUGUGGGCUUGGUCGAAGAGGACGGCCUUCCCCGAAUAGAGACGGACCUUCUUCGGUCGAGGGCGUACGAGUAGCUGCGCUCCCUGCUAGGCCCUCCAGACAAGCCCUCAAAAGAUAAAACUCAGCCCCAGUGUGCGAGCCCUGAGACCAGGAAGGGGGGAGAAUGGAAGGGGCUUUCAGAAUCUUGACUUCUGAGUCACAGCAUCAGUUUACCUC
ensembl:misc_RNA 7SK 7SK RNA